rnacentral:lncRNA from 1 species
CCGACUGCAAUUUUCUGAGAUAAGCAAAUCGGAGGCACCCUGUCCAGGGGUAAACCACUAUCUUUUCUGCCUCCCACUGAUAGAGAUGGUAAGAAGAUAAUAAAAUUAAGUGAGGAUGAUUUGCAACCCCAAGUUGAGUACUGGAAAACCUCCUUAAUAGGGUAUGUUAUUGGCGAAGCUCCAUACGAGAAAGCAAUGG